rnacentral:rRNA from 1 species
CCACUGCUAUCGGGAUAGGACUAAGACAUGCUAGUUGAGCGCUUCCAGCCAACACGGGAGCGCAGCGCACAGCUCAGUAACACGUGGCUAAUCUGCCCUUGGGACCGGAACACCCCCGGGAAACUGGGGCUAAUUCUCGAUAGGUGAAGAACUCUGGAAUGAGUCUUUGCCAAAAAGACGUUUACGUUAUGCUCGUAGGCGUCGCCCAAGGAUGAGGCCGCGACCGAUCAGGUUGUUGGUGAGGUAAUGGCUCACCAAGCCUUUUACCGGUGCGGGCCGUGAGAGCGGGAGCCCGGAGAUGGGCACUGAGACAAGGGCCCAGGCCCUACGGGGCGCAGCAGUCGCGAAAACUUUGCAAUACACGAAAGUGUGACAGGGCUAUCCCGAGUGCCAUCCGCUGAGGAAGGCUUUUACCCAGUCUAGAACGCUGGGGGGAUAAGGAGAGGGCAAGUCUGGUGUCAGCCGCCGCGGUAAUACCAGCUCUCCGAGUGGUGUGGAUGUUUAUUGGGCCUAAAGCAUCCGUAGCUGGCUGAGUUAGUCCCUUGUUAAAUCCACCGAAUUAAUCGUUGGAUUGCGGAGGAUACUGCUCGGCUAGGGACGAGAGAGGCAGACGGUAUUUCCGGGGUAGGGGUGAAAUCCUAUAAUCCCGGGAAGACCACCAGUGGCGAAGGCUGUCUGCUAGAACGCGCCCGACGGUGAGGGAUGAAAGCUGGGGGAGCGAACCGGAUU